GAAAUGCGAUAAGUAGUGUGAAUUGCAGAACCACGAAUCAUCAGAUCUUUGAACGCAUCUGGCGCCGGUACACCCGGCAUACUUGUUUCAGUGUGCUCAAACAACUAAAACUAAACCUAAAUGUGGGAGAAGUUCUCUCAUUAAAUAAAACCAAUCGUCACUUUUAUUAGUGAUUAGACUUAAUGUCACCUGAAAUCAUGUAAGAUGACCCGCUGGACUUAA
rnacentral:misc_RNA from 1 species